AGAAUCAACGCUGGCGGCGUGCCUAACAUAUGCAAGUCGCACGAGAAAGGGGAGCAAUCCCUGAGUACAGUGGCGCACGGGUGAGUAACACGUGAAUAAUCUACCUCCGAGUGGGGAAUAACUGAGAGAAAUCUUAGCUAAUACCGCAUAAUACCCACGGGUCAAAGCAGUAAUGCGCUUGGAGAGGAGUUCGCGGCAGAUUAGUUAGUUGGCGGGUAAUGGCCCACCAAGACGAUGAUCUGUA
rnacentral:rRNA from 1 species